GUGUAUGGCCAUGCUACCCUGAACAAGCCCGAUCCCGUCUGAUCUCGGAAGCUAAGUAGGGUCGGGUCUGGUUAGUAUUGGAUGGGAGACCACCUAGGAAGACCAGGUGCUGUAGGCA
rnacentral:rRNA from 1 species